UCCAGACUCCUACGGGAGGCAGCAGUGGGGGAUAUUGCACAAUGGGGGGAACCCUGAUGCAGCGACGCCGCGUGGGUGAAGGAGCGUUUCGGCGCGUAAAGCCCUAUCGGCAGGGAAGAAGGAGGACGGUACCUGACUAAGAAGCCCCGGCUAACUACGUGCCAGCAGCCGCGGUAAUACGUAGGGGGCAAGCGUUAUCCGGAUUUACUGGGUGUAAAGGGGGCGCAGACGGCAGCGCAAGCCAGGAGUGAAAGCCCGGGGCCCAACCCCGGGACUGCUCUUGGAACUGCGCGGCUGGAGUGCAGGAGGGGCAGGCGGAAUUCCUGGUGUAGCGGUGAAAUGCGUAGAUAUCAGGAGGAACACCGGUGGCGAAGGCGGCCUGCUGGACUGCAACUGACGUUGAGGCCCGAAAGCGUGGGGAGCAAACAGGAUUAGAUACCCCGGUAAC
rnacentral:rRNA from 1 species